rnacentral:rRNA from 1 species
GACGAACGCUGGCGGCGUGCCUAAUACAUGCAAGUAGAACGCUGAAGGAGGAGCUUGCUUCUCUGGAUGAGUUGCGAACGGGUGAGUAACGCGUAGGUAACCUGCCUGGUAGCGGGGGAUAACUAUUGGAAACGAUAGCUAAUACCGCAUAAGAGUAGAUGUCGCAUGACAUUUGCUUAAAAGGUGCAAUUGCAUCACUACCAGAUGGACCUGCGUUGUAUUAGCUAGUUGGUGAGGUAACGGCUCACCAAGGCAACGAUACAUAGCCGACCUGAGAGGGUGAUCGGCCACACUGGGACUGAGACACGGCCCAGACUCCUACGGGAGGCAGCAGUAGGGAAUCUUCGGCAAUAGACGGAAGUCUGACCGAGCAACGCCGCGUGAGUGAAGAAGGUUUUCGGAUCGUAAAGCUCUGUUGUAAGAGAAGAACGAGUGUGAGAGUGGAAAGUUCACACUGUGACGGUAUCUUACCAGAAAGGGACGGCUAGCUACGUG